rnacentral:rRNA from 1 species
GACGAACGCUGGCGGCGUGCCUAAUACAUGCAAGUAGAACGCAGUUGCGAACGGGUGAGUAACGCGUCGGUAACUGCCUGGUAGCGGGGGCUAACUAUUGGAAACGAUAGCUAAUACCGCAUACUACCAGAUGGACCUGCGUUGUAUUAGCUAGUUGGUGAGGUAACGGCUCACCAAGGCAACGAUACAUAGCCGACAUGCGGAGGGGAUCGGCCACACUGGGACUGAGACACGGCCCAGACUCCUACGGGAGGCAGCAGUAGGGAAACUUCGGAAAUGGGGGGAAACCUGACCGAGCAACGCCGGGUGAGUGAAGAAGGGUUUCGGAGCGUAAAGCUAUGUGGUUAAGGAAGCGGUACUUAACCAGAAAGGGACGGCUAACUACGUGCCAGCAGCCGCGGUAAUAC